CUGAUGUAACUGUGACCAUUGUGCCUUUUCCCCAGUAGUCAAAAGCAUCGUUGUAAUCUCGAGCACAAUAAUAAACAGCAGAAUCUUCAGUUUUUAGACUGUUCAUCUCCAAAAACAGCUGCUCUCUGCUGUUGUCUCUGGAGAUGGUAAACCGGCCUUGGA